rnacentral:misc_RNA from 1 species
AAGAAGAAGAAGCAGAAGAAGAAACAGAAGAAGAAGCAGCAGGCAGCAGCAGCAGUCGCACUCGCCAUUCUCCCAGGAUAAUAUUUGAAUGGAUUCUUCAAACUCAAAUUCUCCCCAAGCAAAUAGCACUAGUGGCACUUCUUCAAACACUAGGGAGGAAGAAUUUAGUCCUCUAUGGAGAUAUGUAACUAAAUUAGAGAAAACUGGAGAAGGAGGGG